UACGAAGGUCCCAAGCGUUAUCCGGAUUUAUUGGGUUUAAAGGGUGCGUAGGCGGGCUAUUAAGUCAGUGGUGAAAUCUCCGAGCCUAACUCGGAAAUUGCCAUUGAUACUGAUGGUCUUGAGUACAUUUGAAGUGGGCGGAAUGUGUCAUGUAGCGGUGAAAUGCUUAGAUAUGACACAGAACACCGAUUGCGUAGGCAGCUCACUAAACUGUAACUGACGCUGAGGCACGAAAGCGUGGGGAGCAAACAGG
rnacentral:rRNA from 1 species